GACCAUUCUGGUAGCCUAGUGGUUGGAGCAUCUGCGUUGGAUGCAGGAUGUCAUGGGUUCGAAUCCCUGCUGAGUCA